AGGCGGUUGCUACCCACCUGCUAGAGGCGCUGCGGCUGGGAUCCAGGCUGGUGGGAGACCAUGUCGGACCUGGGCUCGGAGGAGUUGGAGGAGGAGGGAGAGAAUGAUAUUGGGGAAUAUGAGGGGGGUCGGAAUGAGGCAGGCGAAAGGCACGGACGUGGGAGGGCACGGCUACCCAACGGGGACACCUACGAAGGGAGCUACGAAUUCGGUAAAAGACAUGGCCAGGGGAUCUACAAAUUUAAAAAUGGUGCUCGAUAUAUCGGAGAAUAUGUUAGAAAUAAAAAGCACGGUCAAGGCACUUUUAUAUAUCCAGAUGGAUCCAGAUAUGAAGGAGAGUGGGCAAAUGACCUGAGGCAUGGCCAUGGCGUAUACUACUACAUCAAUAAUGACACCUACACCGGAGAGUGGUUUGCUCAUCAAAGGUUCGGUUUCUAUCUUGAGUCUUACGGGAUUUGCUUAUGUAAUGAGAACAUGAUGUCUGCAGAUUGUUUACACUUAUUGAGGAACAGAAUCAUAACAAAAGCCCAGUUACCAACUCUGCCAGGCAGGUCCAAUCUUUCUAUGGCUUUGAGGCAAGGAUGCCUUUCUGUGCAAGUGUAGACUCAAGUAUCUGACAUCUGCACCUCCGUUGGGGCAGAGCACGUGAGUCUUUCACCCAAGAGUCCCAGGGAGUGGAGGGCACAGAAGAGCCACUGGGGGACCUGAGCCACAGCUCCCACUAGCUCUGCCUCUUCCCUGGGGAAAACAGCUGACACACAGGAGUCUUGCCUCUGUCCAGCUGGCCGGUCCUCUGUGCCUCUGGCAAUGUCCUGUGCUUGGGGCACACUGAGCAAGGUGUACCUUCUGACUGGACACAGAUACAGAAGCUACAUCGCUUGUGAGCCUGCAACAGCCUGGGCCUCCCUCAAUGUCAAUGUCUGUGUUUUAAACCUGGGAGAUUUUUCACUGUGCUGGAACGAAAUACCAUGUUCCCUUUGUCUUAACCAGGCAUGGGCAAGGCACCUAUUUAUACGCGGAGACGGGCAGUAAGUAUGUUGGCACCUGGGUGAACGGACAGCAGGAGGGCACGGCCGAGCUCAUUCACCUGAACCACAGGUACCAGGGCAAGUUCUUGAACAAAAAUGUAAGUCCAUGGGAAGUGACAUUUGCCAAUGAAGUACAAAAUAACCCCCGCCCCCCGGCAGCCUGUGCAAAUGUGUGACCAGAGAAUACCAAAAACUCAGAGAAAACUGAGUCCGGCCUAUUCAAAUGUGGGGAACAGGACAGCUGUGCCAUUCUCUGAGCCUCUGGUGCCCACAGAGCACAGAAUUGGGGGGAGGGAGGGAUUGGCCCGUUUCUCUGGGUCUCAGUACAAACUCCCACUGUCUUUCAGUGGGGACCUGUUGCAUUGUUAUAUAACACGAGAGGACAUCUGAACCUCUUGUGUGUAUUCCUUCUCAUCGGUAAAUCAGAUACCAAAUAUCUAUUUCCUGCAAUUGAGCAUAGAGGUGUUUGGGUUUUGUUUCCCUGGAAGGGGAGGUGCAACAUCCCUGGGGAGGAAGACCCCCAGCUCCCUCCUCAUGCUACAGGCCAGCCUGCAUGCUCCUAGUUGUGGUGGGAAUUAAGGCUGCCAAGGGCCUGGCCAGCUUCUAGCACCCACUGUGGGCCGUUUCUGUUCGAAGACUUGGUGGUUCCUCUUGCCCUUAUUGUACAGAGAAACCUUGAAUAAUUCAGAAGCUAAUACUCAGGCCAUCGUGAUAGCUUUGAUCAGGGGUUGAGCAGAAACUUUCCCUGAAGAGAGAAUUUGCUGAGCAAAUUGAUGGUGUUAGGAGUUGACAGAGGGAAUGUUUAGCUGAUUUAAUGAAGUCUCUUUAGACUCUCUGAGAACCCAGUUUUCAUUUACAUAUAAUUCAUGCCCUAACUACAGAUUUUACUUUUAGUCUUCAUUAAAACAGCACAUUCCCCUCAAACCCAUGCAUUGUUUAUAUAAUUCCCUGCAAAUUUCUGUGGGUCUUUUUGGAGGAGAUGGGAAGGUGGUUGCAGAGGAAGAGAAUUUGAUGAAAAUGAAUCUGGAAGAAUCAAUCGGCUUGUCCAGCCUAAACCAGUCUGAAAAAUCAGGCCUGUUGGCCCUGGAAAGUAUGUAUUUGAUGUUGGGUGUGAACAACAUGGUGAAUAUCGUUUAACAGAUAUGGAAAGAGGAGAAGAGGAAGAGGAGGAAGAAUUAGUAACUGUUGUUCCAAAAUGGAAAGCUACCAAAAUCACUGAAUUGGCCCUGUGGACACCAACUCUCCCCAAAGAGCCGACCUCUACGGAUGGACCUGGCCAAGAGGCUCCAGGAGCUGAGAGUGCAGGAGAACCCGGGGAGGAGGCCCAGGCUCUGCUGGAGGGCUUCGAGGGUGAGAUGGACAUGAGGCCUGGAGAUGAAGAUGCAGACGUCCUCCGGGAGGAGAGCCGGGAGUAUGACCAGGAGGAGUUCCGCUAUGACAUGGAUGAGGGAAACAUUAAUUCUGAAGAAGAAGAAACUAGACAGUCAGAGCUCCAGGACUAAGACGAAGUGAGCUGAGAGGAGAUCGUAUCAUAAGAAUGCUUCUGUCAUUAGCCUGGUGCGGUGCUGCGUGUAUCUAGUUCCAGCUACUUGAGAGGCUGAGGCAAGAGGAUUGCUUGAGUCCGGAAAGUGGCAGUUGCAGUGAGCUGAGAUUGCGGCACUGCACUCCAGCCUGGGUGACAGAGCGAGACCCUGUCUCAAAAACAAACAAAAAAUGCUUCUGUCAGUUAACAAUCUUUAUUAGAGGGUUUUUAGUCUUUCUUUCUCAGCUGUGUGUUAAGUUGGUUGACAAUUGCAAAUAAACCUCUUUAUUAUCCUUUCUUUCUGAAA
rnacentral:sRNA from 1 species